UUUCUCAAGGCAUAUGGCACAUCGAAACUCACAAGGUACACUUUCCCUGAAGUUAAGAAGAUAGCAAGACGAUUCAAGGAUAAACUAGGCCAGGGUGGAUUUGGAAGUGUAUACAAAGGCGGGCUACCUAAUGGAGUUCCUGUAGCAUUCAAGAUGCUAGAGAGCUCUACAGGAGAGGGAGAGGAGUUCAUCAAUGAAGUUGCAACCAUUGGACUGAUCCAUCAUGCAAAUAUCAUACGUCUCUUAGGCUUUUGCUCCGAAGGAAGAAGACGGGCUCUUAUUUAUGAAUUCAUGCCUAACGAGUCGCUGGAGAAAUACAUAUUUCCACAAGUUUCUAAUACUUCUCGACAACCCCUAGCAACCAACAAAAUGCUGGAUAUUGAUGUAGGCAUUGCCCGAGGAAUGGAAUACCUGCACCAAGGCUGCAACCAGCGCAUCCUCCACUUUGACAUCAAGCCACAUAACAUCCUGCUGGACUACAACUUCAAUCCGAAGAUCUCGGACUUUGGCCUUGCAAAGCUGUGUGCAAGGGACCAAAGCAUCAUUACCUUAACUGCAGCAAGAGGGACUAUGGGAUACAUCGCACCAGAGCUAUACUCUCCAAACUUUGGAGGAGUGUCGUACAAGUCAGAUGUGUAC
rnacentral:rRNA from 1 species